UGUGUAGCACAAGCAAAAGAAAACAGAGAAAAAGGCAUGGUAGAGAACCUCAGACCUGAGACAAUUUCCGGAUUGGUCUGAUAUUGCAAACCUUGAAAUGAGGCCAUGGCUGAGACCCACUGGUGUCCCGUGUGGUGAAUGGGAAAUUCACAGAAAAGAGUUUUGACACCAGCUUGGUUGGCUGAGCGAACAGGAUGUGGAAGCAAUCAGCUAAAGAAGAUCCAAGCUACCGUGACCAGCACACAACCAGCUCCUGUGGAAGGUGCUUGUCAUAAUCUACAACCUGCUGAUGAGGUAAUGGUCAGAAAGUUCCAGAGAUCAGGCUUGCUGACAGACCGGUGGGAGGACCUUAUCAAGUCUUGCUGACAACUCCAACUGCUAAGAUAAAGCAGAAGACAUCAUGUAUCCACUCCACUCACUGCAAAAAAGUCACGCCUCCUGAGACAGCACUGAGGAAGAUAUUCUCCAAGACACCGCCUCUUCACUUCACCAGUAAAACCAACAAGUGAGUGGUUCGGGCAUAAUAAUCCCUUGAGCCACUUGCCAAUGCAGUAUCUCUGUGGAGGGCACAUAACUCCUGGAUGAGUAAUGUGAAGAUCAAGGACACCAAAGACAAUUCUAAACAGGAUGAUGCUGAUGGGCCAAAUGCCAAAUCAUGUACUGUGGGGGUGCAUUCUCUCAUGGGCAUUUCUGAUAACAAUAAUACUUAUUGUGUUUGAGUAUGGUAUAUACACUCCAGGGUCUGUUAACAAUGUGACCCGUGAAACAGGUAAUAAAUUAUAUAACAAUAGUAUGCUAUUCAGAGCCCGUGCGCACAGAGCUUUACAAAAGAAAAAUUACAAAAAUAAAUUUACAGGUAACUCUAUGAUAGCAAUGCACAGCAAAAUUGCAGAGGCUCUCAACAGAAGCAAAUGUUGGUUUGAACACACUUACCAAUCAGUGUGGAAACAGGUAUAACCCUCCUAACUCAUUACAUAAGCACAUCAGACAUGAUGGACAGAGAAUGGUCCUGUCAUAAUCUAAAGAAUGGUAGUCACAUGUGUGCCAACAAUACGCCUAAUAUACAGAAUGUAGUGAAUUUUCCAUAUUUAAAUGUCUCAGAUGCAGGCUUGCUGUCUGCGCCCGCUCUGCAGGCAACUGCCACAAAAAAAAACCUGAAUUCUGCUGAAGUGUUAAUAAAAAGUCCCACCCAUAUGUAUACAAAAAAAGAUAUUACAGUUAAAAUAGCCCAUACCUAGGAUACACUAACUGUACUGAAGCUACACUUGUAGUGAAGAUCUCCGGUAGAUGCUCCCUCAAGAAUCUCAAAACCUGUUGGCAUUCCAUAGAUGCAAAUGGGGUAUUAACACCUAACGAUACUUUAUACCAACUACAGAGAAAGGACAAUGUGUACUCUCCUAUGUAGUCCCCUUUGUGAAAGGCACUAAUAAUCUGGAUCAAUACCCAAAAAAUAUUCCUAUAGAGCAUGACUUGGUGCCAAAUAACCUGACAUUUAAAAAAUCACAGUGAAAAAAGAAAAUGUAUCUUUUAGGUUUCCUGAUGGUAAAUAAACUGCUGAAACUCUGUUUCCAUUAUCCAUUAUUUAUCUUGUAAAAAAGGCUGUGUCCCAAAUAUUGACAGUACUAGAUCAAAUGGUAGGAGAAUUGGUGGUUUCAAUCAAUCAGACAGUAGAAGAGCUUGCUCAAGUAAAAAAGGUGGCUUUACAAAAUAAAAUGGCGCUGGAUCAGCGGAAGGUGGCACAUGUGCAGUGGUAGGACAAAAAUGUACUUUCAUUGAAGAGCACAGAGCUGAAAUAGGUGCUCAUCUGAGCAAAGUAGAAAAAUUGCAGCAGGAAAUGAGAAGGUUGGGUGUUAGUGAAGGUUGGGAUCCACUUGGGUGGUUAGGAGGUAGCAUUGUAAAGCUUUUCUCUGAAAUAAUACAGUACAUUGUGGUUGCUGCCCUAACUAUCAAGUGUGGACCUGUAGUUUGUGUGCAAUGUUGCAAAGGAUUUAAAAAAUUGAAAAUACACCAAAAGUUGACCAUUGUGGUAAUAGAUGAUAAGGUUCCACUGGAACAGAUAACUCGGGAAAAUAGCCAGGAGCAACAGGGAAGACAGGUGGAGUAUGCAGACAUGAAAAAAAUCUUAUGAAAGUUUACAGCUUAUGGAAGUUGACCCCAUAUAUCAGACUUUAGAAAGAUCAGGAAGGUAGGGAAGGUACUCAGCACGUCAAUUUCAUUUAUGAAAUGGAUAACAAGGUGAAAACUGACCAGGAUAAGUAUGUUCGGCAUGAAGUACAAAUGAGUUUCAAUUAACUAUAUCAAAACCCUCUUGGUCAACACCGGAAGGUUCACAUCAUAGCUUAGGGAUUCCCAUCCAGUGCGGUGAGCAUUCGCCCCGGGCCCAUCCCCGUAAACAUACCUUUAGCCUUUGUUGUGCAUCUCCCUAACCCUCACUAGAAAUUGUGAAUUUGAACCUUCUGAUUUGUGUAUUAGAGUGCCAAGUAUAUUGGCAGAGACAGGAAUGAUAUAGAUAAGUGAAUACAUAAAAUGGAAGCUGGAUGUGAGUUUGUCUAUUGCUUAAAAGAAACUGUUGUUUUAAAUGUGAUUCUUAUGUUUGCAGAAACUUUGAUUUUAGUAGCAAUUAAGGAAGUUAGUCUAGCUUUACAGUAUUUCAUAGACUGUGGUUAGCUAGUAUCCUAUAGAAAAGGGAAGUCGAAAGUAUGUUGAAGGUAAAAGUAUUUCUGCUGCGGGGUACACUGGGCUCCACAAGGAUAGACAUUGGGGUGUAGAGUAGGAUCUUGA